rnacentral:hammerhead_ribozyme from 1 species
AUCCAGCUGACGAGUCCCAAAAUAGGAUAAAACUCGAGUCCUAUAU